rnacentral:rRNA from 1 species
UACGUAGGGUGCGAGCGUUGCCCGGAUUUAUUGGGCGUAAAGAGUACGUAGGCGUUCUGGUAAGUCACAUUUUAAAGACUGAGGCUCAACCUCAGGAGUGGAUGUGAUACUGCUAGAAUCGAAGAACUUAGGGGCUACUGGAACUUAUCAUGUAGGGGUGAAAUCCGUUGAUAUGAUAAGGAACGCCAAGGGUGAAGACAGGUAGCUGGGAGUUUCUUGACGCUGAGGUACGAAAGCUAGGGGAGCGAAAGGG